rnacentral:rRNA from 1 species
AUGGACGCUGAGGAUGCCGCGACACCAGUUUCCACUGCCAAGACCAUCAAGCCUAAAAGACGCUUCACACGGUCGCUGCUUGGACUGGACAGAGAGACUGCAGCCAGUGAAAUUAUAGGAGACGCCUCGCUUGAUUUGUCUGCAACACCAGGGAGGAGGUUCACAAGGUCACUGCUCAAGCCAAAGGUUGAGGCGCCUCCUGCCAGCAGCCCGGUUGUGCCUGAGGAGCCCGUCGACAGCACACCAGAGACCCCUCCACCGGUGACGAAGAUGGAGAUGAAGAUGUCCAAGAAAGUUGCCUGCCUCUCAAAGCACCCAGGCAACACCAGAGAUUUGCUCAGCACAGGACUGCUCGAGGGAAUGCCGGUUAUGUACAUCAUCCCUAAUAGCAAGAAGCCUGUGCUUAAAGGUGUGAUUGCAGGUUGCAAUAUACGUUGCUUUUGUGUUAAGUGUGAUGGCUCCAAGGCUAUUACCACAUAUUUCUUCGAACUACAUGCUGGAAGCAGCAAAAAACACCCUGCAGAGUACAUCUACUUAGCAAAUGGUAAUAGUUUGCGGGAUGUGCUGCGUGCCUGUGAAAGUUCUCCUUUGGAUUCUCUAGAUAAAACAAUCCAGUCCUGCAUUGAUCCCAUGCUUACAAGGACCCGCACGAAUUGUCUGAACUGCAACGGUGAGCUACCUUCACAAACGGAAGAACAGUUUCUGUGCCAUCAGUGUUGCCCAGAGUCGAACCAACCUCAAGAUCCUACUUCCCCGUUGGCAUGCAGCAAGAGCAGUUCCAGGCUGACUCCAAGUUCCAAGGAAUCUUUGUUGAAGAGGAUGUCGGCAAGCAAAGGCGCAAGUACUGGAAAAGUAACAACAAAGGAUACGGGGCUACACAAACUGGUAUUCAAGGUUUUGCUUGACGGUACUGAAGUAACCUACUAUGUUGAUGGGCAGAAAAUAAUCGAUGGAUACAUCAAGGAUCAAAGAAUCUACUGUAACCAUUGCAACAAAGUGGUCAGCCCCUCAGCGUUCGAAGCUCAUGCGGGUGAGGGAUCAAGACGCAAACCGUAUGACAACAUCUAUACGUCCAAUGGGGUAUCCCUGCAUGAGCUGUCGAUGAGAAUAUCAAAAGACAUGCAAUUGUCGGAACGUGAAACUGAUGAUCUGUGCAGAGAAUGUGGUCUAGGAGGGGAUAUUUUCCCUUGCAAAAUGUGUCCGAGGUCAUUUCACCCAGCUUGCGUUGGGCUGCCUGGAGUUCCCUCGGAGGAGUGGUUUUGUGAUAACUGCACCAUCCUCGUUCAGAAAGAAAAGGCUUUAGCAGCAAAUAAGAAUGCCAAGGCUGCUGGGAGGCAGGCCGGAGUCGAUUCUAUUGAGCAGAUUUUGAAGAGGGCUAUUAGAAUCGUCCCAAUCUGUGAUGACCUUGGAGGAUGCGCCUUAUGCAAGAAAAAGGAUUUUAACAAUUCAGUAUUUGAUGAGCGCACUGUGAUACUCUGUGAUCAAUGCGAGAAAGAAUACCAUGUAGGAUGUUUGAGGAGUGAAUGGCAGGUCGACCUGAAGGAAUUACCAGAAGGGGAGUGGUUCUGUUGUGAUAGUUGCUCUGAGAUACGCUCCUCUUUGGACAAGAUGAUUUCUGAAGGAGCUCAGCCUUUGUCGGAGUCAGACCUUGAUAUCAUAAGGAAGAAGCACGAGUCAAAAGGUUUGAUCAUGGACACCGAUACAGAGAUCAGAUGGCAAUUGGUUGCUGGUAGAAGUGCCACUGAAGAUGGCAACUCAUUGCUUUCUUCUGCUGUCCCAGUUAUUCAUCAAUCUUUUGAUCCAAUCAUUGAAGCCCAUACUGGUAGGGAUCUAAUUCCUGAGAUGGUCCACGGGUAA